rnacentral:snRNA from 1 species
GUGCUCACUUUGCCAGCACAUAUACUAAAAUUGGAACAAGACAGAGAAGAUUAACAUGCCCCCUGUGCACGGACGGCAUGCAAAUUCGUGAAGCGUUCCAUAUUUAA